AUGAUCACGAAGAAGGCUAUUCUCAAAGAUCCAGCAUCGGAGGGAAUCUUUGGUUACUUCUACUUCUAUUGUAACUUGAUUGAACCAAUCGAUGUACGAUCACAAGAUCUCCUCCGCUCCUUAUAUGAUGCUUCUAAGGGAAACUAUAGUAACUGCUUGUCUUUUCCGAGUGGUGAAAUACACAUGGAGGGAGGAUUAGAACUGGCUGCUGAAGAGUUAGUAUUAACUAGUGGCUGA